rnacentral:tRNA from 1 species
UUUUAAGUGGCCGAGUAUAGGCAGUAGAUUUUUAAUCUUCUUACGUUUUCUAGAACCUUUGCGU